UGUGCGCCGCGUCUGCCGCCGUGCGCGUGCGUGCUUGCGCGCUGACGCGGAGCCUCCAGACCGAGCGAUGACUCAUCGCGGGCUCUCUGCGAGAUCUCGGAGGUCAGACGCGAAGGAAAACGGGCGGAGAGCGGCUCAGAGCCACCGGGAGGAACGCGCUUAACAAGCGCGUGAAUGCGUCGUCAGGUCGAUGUCAUUGCUUUGAAAUCGCUUCGGUGGGGAAAAUACCGCGUUAGAUAAAAACAGUCUGGAGACAGGGAGAGAAAAGGGUUUAAUGAGGACAGAAAGUUGCUCUUCUUGACCAUAUAAACGACUCUAACUCCAGGGGCUUUAUUGUUCUUUAUUUAGAUUUAUUUAUUUUGGCCUCUAUCAAAAACAGUGACUGUUUCGCUGCCUCUCCCGGAGUUCUGGAAGGAAGUCAGCAGAGGAAAGACAGACGCAGACGGAGCAGCAGACAGGCGCAGUGGAGUUAUCACACGGAUGCCUGUUACAUAAACAAGAUGUCGCUUCCAAGUUUAGCACAAUUACAUGGCGCUAACAGGCCACAGGGAGGAACACAGAUCUGGGGGCAGAUUAGCGAUCAGCACCCACAUCUCUCAGCAUGGGGCAGGAUAUGGAGGCAGCUGUACUCUGAGCUCCUUCUGGUUGUCUGAACUCAGCUCCUCGCCUCUCCUCAGUUCCUUUAGACCACAGCUCACUCCCAUCUCAGAGGGAGAAGCUCACUCCUGUCCUCCCCCUCCUCCUCGUCCUACUCACACACCUCAUGCACACUAGGCUGCAGGUACAAGCUGCAGACUGCACCGUAUCAAGUUCACCAGCAAAGUCGUGGGGCCCCGGGUUUUAUCCUUCCCAGGGCUAAAACCAUUGAGUCCCAAAAGAUGCAGAGCUGGAGUGUCGCUGCUGCCGAGAGCAGAUUGCAGAUUCACACCCUGUGUCCUCCUGCGGGGAAAGUAGCAGACGCCGCCAAGUGACUCUUCACAUCAGGUCUUACACUGAGGCGAGUGAUCUCCGAGUUGCACACAGACAUGACGUGACUCACUAUGCAAAGAAAACAGUGGAGGGUAGUUUGCUUCCUUGGCCUUUGAGACAGACAAAGCAUGUGUCUGCUGCCAGUGUUGUUAAUCUUCUAAAUCUUCUGUGUUUUGCACUGCAAUAGUUAGCACUGACACACAACAUAAUGGGUGAAUAGCCCUGAUUCUGACCAGGAAGUGGAGUUCUGCUGUCUUUGUUGUGAAGCUGCUCUGACCCAAUUAUUCAGCCAUCACAGUCUGGCUCAGACCAAAGAGCUGAGCAUUGCCCACUUCCUCAGUAAUAAUAAAAAAGAACGUUUGGAAUAAGCAAAUGAGCAUCAUUGACGAAUCUAGUUGAAAAUGACACAGUUCUCCUCAUAACUACUGUGCUGUAAUGUAUGUACUAGGUCAGUCAUGAGUGAACCUGGGAAUGUCGCAGCUCACCUCCUAAGCCCUAGGUGGCGAUAGAGUGGCGAGCUCCAUCAUACACCUGUUUUUUUCUGCUUUGGGUCGUUAGCAUGUUGAUUUAACUCUGCUUUGGUAACCUGUCGGGUGCCAGUCUGUCUUGUUAGAUAUGCCAGUCUCUCUGUUUCAGACUUUUCCCUCGACAGUCCGGUACCUCUGUGUUGCAAGUUUUGCAACUCUCUGUUUUUAUCACUUAGUAGGUAUUUUUACUCACCUUUCCAUUACACCAGUCCACAGUGUCAUGAGUUAUGUGUUUUUCCCAUGUUUGAUCAGUUCGCUGUUCUGAAGUAUAGUGUACAAUAAAACCUGUAUCUCAAAUCAGCUGGCUUGAGUUGGUUCCAGUCCGGUGUAAUGAGGUGUGACAGGGAAGGUCAGAACAGGCCCUUGAUUUAUGCCACACACUGGCAAUGAGACAGAUUAUGCUGUAGAAUUUAAAUCAUCGGAUUUGAGGUUUAUGAGUACACAUAGAAACACCUGUAGUAGACACAGGACAACCACGACUUUAACUCUGGAUCCCAAAGUUACAGGAGCAAAUGCUACAACUAUAGGGUUACAAAGAGACUCUCGUUAAGUUUUAACUUAGAGCCGUAGCAUUACUGCAAUAGCUCCCUCUCACUCGAUCUCUCUUUAAGAGAGAUAAGUAAGAGGGAGUCUAAUUACAUGUACAUGCAAUUGUUUAGUGUUCAGGUUUGUUCUGGCAUGCUGGUUCUUCUACUGUGAUGCUUCCUGGAACGAUUGUGCUGUUGUCUUUAUGUAAUUAUUAGAUAAUGUCAGUCAUAAUAUAUACAGAUGGAUGGAUUUGUCUGCCCCACAGCAUCAGGAUCUGCCCUGCAGUUAAAUAAGAAAAAAACAAAUUCACUGCAAGAUGCUAACAUGAAGAAAUGUGGCUUUCAUUUUAUUGGACCUUUCGUGUCACCUUGGAAGAAAAGUAAAGUAAAAUAAAGUAUUUACCAGAAUGGGUCUUAUGGAGAUCUCAGAUCUCAUAUAUUUGCUGACUCAGGUCUAAUGAAGCUGCAGGGAAGCAAGAUUCACUCUC